UCUACUUCACUUUCUCUUUCACGUUCCCUUUCCCUCACCACCUGUAACCACCAGCCUCUUGCCGCCGUCCACCGCUAAUCACUCCAUUGCCUCCAUCUCUUCGUACCGCACACGAUCGUUUAGCCGUCGAUUUGUCUCGUCUGAAAGCUGUUGUGGUUGUUAUUGAGUUAGGUUCAAUUUUAGUCGUCGUUGGUUCCAUUUUUGUUGGUGUUUUCUUUUUCCAGAUCCAAAUUGUUUUUCCGAUAAGGAUUGUAUAUAUCUUGGGUAUAAUGAAGCAAAUUCUCUUUUGUGUAUAAUUAGAAAUCAAUGUAAAC
rnacentral:lncRNA from 1 species